GAACCGAGCGAACGUUGUUCGGAAUCACUGGGCUUAAGGGGCGCGUAGGCGGGUGUUCAAGUCCGUGGUGAAAUCCUCCGGCUCAACCGGAGAACUGCCUCGGAUACUGGAUGUCUCGAGGGUGGCAGGGGUAUGCGGAACUAUCGGUGGAGCGGUGAAAUGCGUUGAUAUCGAUAGGAACUCCGGUGGCGAAGGCGGCAUACUGGUCCACUUCUGACGCUGAGGCGCGAAAGCCAGGGGAGCAAACGGGAUUAGAUACCCCGGUAGUCGUGGCCCUAAACGAUGGGUACUAGCUAGUAGGGUUCACAUGGCUUUACUGGCGAAGCAAAAGUGCUAAGUACCCCGCCUGGGGAGUAUGGUCGCAAGGCUG
rnacentral:rRNA from 1 species